GAUGAACGCUGGCGGCGUGCCUAAUACAUGCAAGUCGAGCGAAGCGGGGACGGAUGAGUAACACGUGGAUAACCUACUAUAAGACUGGGAUAAGUUCGGGAAACCGGAGCUAGACCGUAUACUUAUAGAUGGCUCUGCGCUGCAUUAGCUAUUUGGUAAGGUAAAGGCUUACCAAGGCAACGAUGCAGAGCCGACCUGAGAGGGUGAUAGGCCACACUGGAACGGAGACACGGUCCAGAGUCCUAGGGUAGGCAGCAGUAGGGAAUCUUCCGCAAUGGGAGAAAGCCUGAAGGAGAAAUGCAGCGUGAGUGAUGAAGGUCUUCGGAUCGUAAAACUCUGAUAUUAGGGCAGCGGUAGCUAAUCAGAAAGCCACGGCUAACUACGUGCCAGCAGCCGCGGUAAUUC
rnacentral:rRNA from 1 species